CUGAGAUUAUUAUUAAAUGGCCGCAGUACCCUGACUGUGCUAAGGUAGCAUAAUCAAUUGGCCUUUAAUUGAGGUCUGGAAUGAAUGGAAUUAAUAUCCGGAAACAAUCUGUCUCUUUUAAAAUUUAUUGAAUUUACUAACAAGGUGAAAAAUCCUUGAGUGAGAAAAUAGACGAGAAGACCCUAAGAGUUUUAAUUAAAAUUAAAGUGUUUUAUAAUUUUUUUGCUGGGGCGGCAAGGAGACAGAAUAACUCUCCUAAUAUCCUUUUUAAUCGACGCAGUUGUAUGAAGAAUUAAUAAACUACCUUAGGGAUAACAGCAUAAUUUAUUUUAAUUGUUUGUGACCUCGAUGUUGGACUAGGAAUAGUUUUGGCUAGCAGCUAAAUGUGAUGGUUCUGUUCGAACAUU
rnacentral:rRNA from 1 species